AACGAACGCUGGCGGCAUGCCUAACACAUGCAAGUCGAACGAGACCUUCGGGUCUAGUGGCGCACGGGUGCGUAACGCGUGGGAACCUGCCCUUAGGUUCGGAAUAACUCCCCGAAAGGGGUGCUAAUACCGGAUAAUGUCUUCGGACCAAAGAUUUAUCGCCUUUGGAUGGGCCCGCGUUGGAUUAGCUAGUUGGUAGGGUAAUAGCCUACCAAGGCGACGAUCCAUAGCUGGUCUGAGAGGAUGAUCAGCCACACUGGGACUGAGACACGGCCCAGACUCCUACGGGAGGCAGCAGUGGGGAAUAUUGGACAAUGGGCGAAAGCCUGAUCCAGCAAUGCCGCGUGAGUGAUGAAGGCCUUAGGGUUGUAAAGCUCUUUUACCCGGGAUGAUAAUGACAGUACCGGGAGAAGAAGCUCCGGCUAACUCCGUG
rnacentral:rRNA from 1 species